AGUGAACGCUGGCGGUAGGCCUAACACAUGCAAGUCGAACGGCAGCACAGUAAGAGCUUGCUCUUACGGGUGGCGAGUGGCGGACGGGUGAGGAAUACAUCGGAAUCUACUUUUUCGUGGGGGAUAACGUAGGGAAACUUACGCUAAUACCGCAUACGACCUACGGGUGAAAGCAGGGGAUCUUCGGACCUUGCGCGAUUGAAUGAGCCGAUGUCGGAUUAGCUAGUUGGCGGGGUAAAGGCCCACCAAGGCGACGAACCGUAGCUGGUCGGAGAGGAUGAUCAGCCACACUGAAACUGAGACACGGUCCAGACUCCUACGGAAGGCAGCAGUGGGGAGUAUUGGACAAUGGGCGCAAGCCUGAUCCAGCCAUACCGCGUGGGUGAAGAAGGCCUUCGGGUUGUAAAGCCCUUUUGUUGGGAAAGAAAAGCAGCAGGUUAAUACCCCGCUGUUCUGACGGUACCCAAAGAAUAAGCACCGGCUAACUUCGU
rnacentral:rRNA from 1 species